GAACGCUGGCGGCAGGCCUAACACAUGCAAGUCGGACGGAAACGACAAGAACAAUCACUUCGGUGUGCGUUUUUGGGCGUCGAGUGGCGGACGGGUGAGUAACGCGUGGGAAUCUACCCUUUAGUUGGGGACAACAUAUGGAAACGUAUGCUAAUACCGAAUAUGCUCUACGGAGUAAAGGUGGCCUCUACUUGUAAGCUAUCGCUAAAGGAUGAGCCCGCGUUAGAUUAGCUAGUUGGUAAGGUAAAGGCUUACCAAGGCGACGAUCUAUAGCUGGUUUGAGAGGAUGAUCAGCCACACUGGGACUGAGACACGGCCCAGACUCCUACGGGAGGCAGCAGUGGGGAAUAUUGCACAAUGAGGGAAACCCUGAUGCAGCCAUGCCGCGUGUGUGAAGAAAGCCCGAGGGUUGUAAAGCACUUUCAAUUGUGAGGAAGAUUAAGUAGCUAAUACCUGCUUAGUUUGACGUUAACUUUAGAAGAAGCACCGGCUAACUCUGUGCCAGCAGCCGCGGUAAUACAGAGGGUGCAAGCGUUAUUCGGAAUUACUGGGCGUAAAGCGCGCGUAGGCGGACUGUUAAGUCGGUUGUGAAAGCCCUGGGCUCAACCUAGGAACUGCAUCCGAUACUGGCAAUCUAGAGUUUAAGAGAGGGAAGUGGAAUUCCAGGUGUAGCAGUGAAAUGCGUAGAUAUCUGGAGGAACAUCAGUGGCGAAGGCGACUUCCUGGCUUAAAACUGACGCUGAGGUGCGAAAGCUUGGGUAGCGAACGGGAUU
rnacentral:rRNA from 1 species